rnacentral:rRNA from 1 species
UACGUAGGGGGCAAGCGUUGUCCGGAAUCAUUGGGCGUAAAGCGCGUGUAGGCGGCUGAGUAAGUCUGCUCUGAAAGCCCGGGGCUCAACCCCGGGAGGCGGGUGGAUACUGCUCAGCUCGAGUCCGGAAGAGGAGUGUGGAAUUCCUGGUGUAGCGGUGAAAUGCGCAGAUAUCAGGAGGAACACCAGUGGCGAAGGCGGUGCUCUGGGCCGGUACUGACGCUGAGGAGCGAAAGCGUGGGUAGCAAACAGG